rnacentral:rRNA from 1 species
GACGAGCCACACAAACGUUAUUCGGAAUUACUGGGCUUAAAGGGUGCGUAGGCGGGCGCGGCAAGUUGGGUGUGAAAUCCCUCGGCUCAACCGAGGAACUGCGCCCAAAACUGCCGUGCUCGAGGAAGAUAGAGGUAAGCGGAACUUACGGUGGAGCGGUGAAAUGCGUUGAUAUCGUAAGGAACACCUGUGGCGAAAGCGGCUUACUGGGUCUUUUCUGACGCUGAUGCACGAAAGCUAGGGGAGCAAACGGG